AUCCUUUUGCUCAACAGAAGAACUGCCAGGGAAACUAUUGAGAUUGAGGCUAGAAGGGGAGAGCGGAAUCCCGGUGUAAGGGUGAAAUCUGUAGAUAUCGGGAGGAACACCAGUAGCGAAGGCGGCUCUCUGGUCUUGACCUGACGCUGAGCUGCGAAAGCUAGGGGAGCAAACAGGAUUAGAUACCCUGGUAGUCCUAGCUGUAAACGAUGAGCACUAGGUGUUGGCUCUGAAUAAGGGUCGGUGCCGUAAGAUAACUCGUUAAGUGCUCCACCUGGGGACUACGGCCGCAAGGCUAAAACUCAAAGGAAUUGACGGGGGCCCGCACAAGCGGUGGAACAUGUGGUUCAAUUCGACGAUACGCGAAGAACCUCACCAGGGCUUGACAUGCAGGAAGUAGGAGCCUGAAAGGGGGAUGACCUGUCAAAUCAGGAACCUGCACAGGUGUUGCAUGGCUGUCGUCAGCUCGUAUCGUGAGACGUUGGGUUAAGUCCCGCAACGAGCGCAACCUUCAUCCUUAGUUGCUACCCAGCACUAAUUUCGAAAGAAAUUAGUGCUGGGGCACUCUAAGGAAACUGCCCGCGAUAAGCGGGAGGAGGGCGGAGAUGACGUCAAGUCAGUACGGCCCUUAUGCCCUGGGCUACACACGUGUUACAAUGCUUGCUACAAAGCGUUGCUAAAUCGUAAGAUGGAGCUAAUCGCAAAAAAGCAGGCUCAGUUCAGAUUGGAGUCUGCAACUCGACUCCAUGAAGCCG
rnacentral:rRNA from 1 species